GACGAAAGUCUGACGGAGCAACGCCGCGUGAGUGAAGAAGGUUUUCGGAUCGUAAAGCUCUGUCUUCAGGGACGAAUGUGCUUAAUGUGAAUAAUGUUAAGUAAUGACGGUACCUGAGGAGGAAGCCACGGCUAACUACGUGCCAGCAGCCGCGGUAAUACGUAGGUGGCAAGCGUUGUCCGGAAUUAUUGGGCGUAAAGCGCGCGCAGGCGGGAAUGUAAGUCUGUCUUAAAAGUUCGGGGCUCAACCCCGUGAUGGGAUGGAAACUACAUUUCUUGAGUGCAGGAGAGGAAAGUGGAAUUCCUAGUGUAGCGGUGAAAUGCGUAGAUAUUAGGAGGAACACCAGUGGCGAAGGCGACUUUCUGGACUGUGUCUGACGCUGAGGCGCGAAAGCCAGGGGAGUGAACGGGAUUAGAUACCCCGGUAAUCCUGACCGUAAACGAUGGGUACUAGGUGUAGGAGGUAUCGACCCCUUCUGUGCCGGAGUUAACGCAAUAAGUACCCCGCCUGGGGA
rnacentral:rRNA from 1 species